rnacentral:rRNA from 1 species
UAAUACGGAGGGAGCAAGCGUUACUCGGAAUUAUUGGGCGUAAAGGGCGCGUAGGCGAUUUGACAAGUCAACUGUGAAAGCCCAGAGCUUAACUCUGGAAGUGCAGCUGAGACUGUUGAAUUUGAGUAUAGGAGAGGAAGGCAGAAUUCCCGGUGUAGCGGUGAAAUGCGUAGAUAUCGGGAGGAAUACCAGUGGCGAAGGCGGCCUUCUGGACUAUAACUGACGCUGAGGCGCGAAAGCUAGGGGAGCAAACGGGAUUAGAUACCCCGGUAGUCCUAGCCGUAAACGAUGUGCACUUGGUGUGAGCCCGUUUUGGGUUUGUGCCGAAGUUAACGCGAUAAGUGCACCGCCUGGGGAGUACGGUCGCAAGGCUG